AAAAGGUCAUAGUAUCAGGGUAGUUCCAGGAGGAGCCAUAAGGCCUCACAAUUUAGGGGUAGUGGUUCUAAGUUAGUUACCCUUCGUAUUAACUGUAUCAGUAUCUAGGUUAGUCUAGUAAGCUUGUUUAGUUCUAUGUUUAGAUUACUGGUGAAGGCCAAACCUAGUUUCUAUGAUCAUCCUAGCCAGGGUAGUGGUUAGUAUUUGAGAAGUUCUUCUUCUUGUUAUUUUAGUCAUGGUUUUUAUUAUGGGUUAGCUGAAUCUUAUAGUUUAAGUAUAUUUCUUAGUGCAUGUUAUGGUUGUGGAGCUUUUUGUCAUUUCUCGAUAAAGUGUCCCAACCGUGGAGCAAUGCUUCAUUUAGUUUAGAGUAUGCCACCGAUUGGGUUAGUUCCUUCCUCGGCUAAAGGUAGUAUGCAUGGUUUUAAGGGUGUUCCCCAAGGUGAUUAUGAAGGUUCUCAGAUAGGUAAGAUAAAAGAUUAGUUAGUAGCCUAGGUAGGUGGCGGGCGUGGUCAAUUAUAUGCUAGACUCGAGGCUGAGUCUUUAGAUAUUGUUAUUAUAGGUAUGAUCUUGGUACACCAUUAGUCAACUUUAUCUUUCUUUAUCUUGUAUCCACCUAUUUUUAUAUGUCUACUUAUUAUGCUAUGUGAUUAUAGUUAACUUAGGAUUCAUUACUUAUCCCAUUAUGUGUAUCGACUCCAAUGGGUGAUUUUUUAUUAGUUGGUUGGAUUUUCUGAUUAUGUGUUAUAACUAUUCGAGAGCUUGAUACUCAUUUUGAUCUUUUAUAAUAGACAUGGAUGAAUUUUGAUGUGAUUCUAGGGGUGAAAUAGUUAUCCCACUAUAAUAUGGUCCUAGAUUGUUUUCCCAAGACCAUUACCUUCGCCAUGCCCAAUAUAACCCAGUCGUGUGGUAGUAAGAAGUUAGCCACAAACUGAUGGGGAUUAUUUCUUAUAUUCAUGCUUAGAGGAUUAUUUUGAGGGUUUGUGAGUCGUAUCUCACUUAUAUUAGUAAUGUUACUUUGGGGAGUCUAUUGCUUGACUCUAUUCCUGUAAUUUAUCAGUUUUCUGAUGUUUUCCCUACUGAUCUACCUGGUAAUCCUUUUGUGCAUGAUGUAGAGUUUGUUAUUGAUCCUGUGUGUGGAACCCGACCUAUUUCUAUGACACCUUAUCGUAUGGCUCCUAUUGAGAUUAAUGAUCUAAAUUCUCAACUCUAAGAUCUUUAUGGUAAGGGUUUGAUUAGACUGAGUGUAUCUCCCUGGGGAGCUCUUGUGUUAUUUAUGAAGAAAAAGAAUAGGUCCAUGCGUAUUUGUAUUGAUUUUAGGCAUCUUAAUAGGGUGAUUGUGAAGAACUGGCAUCCUAUGCCUCACAUUGAUGAUUUUUUGACUAGUUUCAAAGAGCAGCAUUGUUUUCUAAUAUUAAUUUGUGGUUUGGUUAACAUAAGUUGAUAUUUUGAUAUGAUGAUAUCUUAAAGAUAAGUUUUAGGAUGCGUUAUGGUCAUUAUGAGUUUCUAGUGAUGACUUUUAGGUUGACUAAUGCUGAAACAUCCUAGGUUUUGACCCUUAAUAAUUUUAUUAGAAUUCCCAUUAUUUGGAUCUAAUAUGACUCAUGGGUACGAGUCGUAUGUUAGGGUACGAGUGGUAUAGUCCUGUUGUAUGUUGACUAGUGUUAGUUGGUGGGAUGGUUUUGGUCAUUGGAAUUGGUAUGACGUAGGAUUAUGAGUCGUAGGGCUUGGUAAGAGUCAUACCAGGGACUCAUAUGGUGGGCAAUGUUUGAUCCUCUUGGUAUUUUAUUUUUUCUAAGAUACACGUUAAGGAUACGAAUCGUAUGUUGUGGUUAUGUCAUGGUUGAAUGAUUCGUAUACUAGACAAUAUUUGAUCCUAUGGUUGAGACUUUGAUAUGAGUUGGGGGUACCGAUCAUAUUGGGAUAGUAUGACUUGUAUGGGACAGUUGUAUCCCUAUGAUGGGAUUUAGUGCAACCUAAGUAGGGGUAUUCGUGAACAUUCCCUACUUACCCUAAUUAUGACUCAUCAUUUGUAAUACACUUAGAAGGUUAUUUACCUUAUUAGUCUAUUCAUUAACCCUUGAAACUCUUCCAAAACACUCAAUAAUUCUCUCAAGAUCUUUUGGGGCAAGAAGACUAAGGUAUCAUCUUAAGGAUUGCUUUGGGGCUUAUCUUGGUGAUUUCUUUUCAUUAAUUCUAUGGUAUAACGCAUGCUUGUCUUCCCUCAUUGUAAUUUCAACUAAAUGCAUGGUUUAUAUUAUUUGUUUUGAUGGUUUUACUAUUUCUUGAUUAUAGUUUACAACUAUUAUUUAGGGGUUUUGAUCUUAAAUACUUUAUUUUCGUUUCCUAUGGUUUUAAUUAUGCUUUUAUAUGCAUUAAUGGUGGAUUUGAACAAUUAUAUCAUUGGUAAUGGUUUAAUGGUCUUUGGAAUUGGUUUUAGAUAAAUUAUGCCCCCAAUAUGUUUGACAAAAUGCUUAUAAAGAUAUGUUGAUUAUAUUGACUUCUUUUAAUGGAACUCUUGCAUGUUUUAAACUUGGUAUAGGAAUUAUACAUGGUUUAAACUAUUAUAACGGGCUAAAGGCUAAAUGGUUAUGCUUGUGGGGAACAUGGAAGUCUUCCAAGUGGUUUAAUAUGGUAUGUGGAAGGGCACUUGAAAGUCCUCUUAACCUAAAUGGUUUGGUUAUUGAUAUUACUUGCAAGUAAAAGGUGGUAUGAUAAUACCACUAAUAUUUUCCUUGGUUAAUAAAAUGGUAAAUGGAUUGGUUAGUCAUUUGGAAACAGUUUUAAUUAGGCAUUAAUGAUGGGAUGUGUAGCAAAGUCGUGGAAGGCACUAGUCCUAAGGGGUCCAAAACUAGAAACUGAUAUUUGCCGAAAUGAGGAUUGGUCUUAGUGGGAUGUGUGCAUGAUGUCACAUUAUUGGUAGAUGUACUAGUCAUUCUACAGGAUACUUCCCAGGUCUUGCGGCUACACGCACUAGGGUCCUUUCAACAGGGGGAUCUGAACCCAUAUAGCCCAUAGGUGGUUUAGGACGACCAAGCUACACAACCCAGGUAAAGGUUUUAAAUGCAUCCUAAACCCGGAUACCCUUUCCCGAUACUUAUAUAUGUAUAGUUGUGAGCAUUGGUUGGUUUUAUUUGGUUUUAUAACUGACAAUAUUUUAUCCUUAUCCUAAGAUUCAUUCUAGCAGUCACUUUCUAACCCGUCUACUGGAGGUUGUAUACCCACGCUAUACAGGAAUCGCCCGUUUGACUCCUCCUAUAUAGUGAUUAAUUCAGGCACAGUAUUUUGACUAAAGCGGUGAACUUUCAUACUCUUGGAAGGCAUCAUUUCAUGUUAUGAAUAUUGUUAGACAUUUUGAUUUUAUUUUUUAUAUUGGUUUUGGCCAUAGUUGGGGGUAUGUCCCAACCAGAUUCAUUUACUCUUUUGCAUAGAGGCUUUGUGGUACUUCUGGUGGUUGGAAUGGGCGGGAUCAGUAUUGGUGUUGUCCUUGGCAUUGGAAUAGGCUUGUGGGCUAACACCACAUCAUAGGAUUUCUCACUGUUCCAUCAUAUUACAUUUUGGGAUUAAUUAUAUUAUGUUUUGGUAUUCUUUUUGUUAUUGUUUGGUUUAUUAACUAUGGUUUUGUUGGUAUGGUUGGGUGGUUGAUUUGAUACGGGUGCACUUGGUUGGGCCGGUCACGGUUGUGACCCUAUCCUAUAGUUUUCAUGAGAGCAUUUAUGCUAUCUUUCCAUAUGCUCAAAAUUCAGACCAUAUAAAGCUGGAUAUAGAUGGUUAGGUUGGGUAACAUAGGGUAGUCCCCAGUCCUGGUUAGACUUAGGAUGCCUAUUAUGAUAAAGCCCAGGGGUUUGGUCGGGUCAAAUACCCAGUCACAUUCUUGGAUUAGAUAAACCGUGUGUUAAGAAAUUAUUUGGAUUCUUUAGUGAUUGUGUGCAUCAGUAACAUCCUUGUAUGUUCGAGGAGUUUAAAUAAGCAUGUACAACUUUUAAUAAUUAUGCUCUAGACUUUGAGAGAUCAUAUGCAUUUUGCCAAAUUCUUUUUGUAAGAGUUUUGGCUUGAGUCAAUGGUAUGCCUCAAGCAUCUGAUGUCUAAGAAUGAGAUUAUGGUAGAUUUGACAAAGAUUGAGGCUAUUCGUGAUUGGGCCAUACCUACAUCUCUGUCUGAGGUUUGUUGCUUCAUUGGUUUGGUUGAUUACUUUAGACAGUUUAAUGACCAAAUUAACUGAGAAAGAGGUUCCUUUUUGAUGGUCUGAGGAGUGUGAGUUGAUCUUUGGAAAGUUUAAGGGGUUUCUUGCUUCAGCUCUUAUUUUCGCUCUUCCUAUUAAGGGCGAGGGAUUCAUUAUAUUGUGAUGCUUUUUGUGUUAGUUUUGGUUGUGUAUUGAUGCAAUAGGGUCUUGAUAUUACUUAUGCUUGACAAUUGAAGGAUCAUGACCUCAACUACCCCACUCAAGAUUUGUUGUUUGCAACGGUAAUUUUGCGCUAAAGAUUUAGAGAUAUUAUCUUUAUAGUGUGAAUUGUGAGAUCUUAAUAAAUCAUUAAAGUCUUCAUCAUCUUAUGAGCUAGAGAGAGCUUAAUUUUAGGAAGUGUAGAUGGAUGGAGUUGCUUAAGGAUUAUGGCAUCUCUGUCUUGAAUCAUUCAGGAAAACCAAAUGUGGUAGCACACACCUUGAGUCAGAAUAUGGUGAGUAUGGGUAGCUUGGCUUGAAUCGUAGUUUCUAAAAGGUCAUUGGCAUGAGACAUUUAGUCCUUAGCCAACAUGAAGGUGAAAUUUCAUAUUUUAGACCCUAGGAGGAUUCUUACUAGUGUUAAGGUUAGGUCCUCACUAUUUGAGAAGGUUCAGAGUCGUUCGCUUGAGGAUAAGAGGCUUUGUUUCAUUCAUGAUUAGGUGUUGAGUGGUGUGUCCAAGAGUGCUACCAUAUAUUCCGAGGGUGUCUUGAGAUUAGAUAGAUGUAUUUUUGUUAUGAGUGUUAGUAACUUGAUUCAGUCGAUUUUGAGUGAGGGUUAUAACUCUAGAUAUCCUAUACAUCCGAGUAUAGCUACGAUGUAUCGUGAUUUGAGAUGGAAUUAUUGGUAGAGCGACAUGAAAAGAGAUAUGUCAAACUUUGUAUCUCAUUUCUAAUUGUCAAUAGGUCAAGGCUGAUCAUCAUAGACGUGGUUGCUUUACUAUAAGGUUUCCCAUUCAUGAGUUGAAGUGGAAGCGGAUUACCUUGGACUUUGUCGGUGGUUUUCCUCACACUUAUUGUGGUUCUAAUAAUAUUUAAGUCAUUAUUGACCAGUCCACUAAAUUUGCACAUUUCAUUCCUAUUUAGAUGUCCUUCUAUGCCGAGAGGUUAGCCCGUAUAUAUGUUAGUGCGAUAGUCUGUCUGCAUGGAGUGCUUAUAACUAUCAUUUCAGACCAGGGUUCGGUGUUUACCUCUUGCUUUUGAUGAGCUUUCCAGGAGGAGUUGGAUGCUCAGGUGGAUCUUAGUACAACUUUCCACCACCAGAAAGAUGGGCAAGAUGGGCAAUCGGAGUGGACUAUUCAGGUUCUUGAGGUAUACUUUGAGCCUUUGUUAUAGACUUUGGAGGUCAGUGGGAUCAACACUUAGCUUUGACAGAGUUCGCUUAUAAUAAGAACUAUCAUUCGAGUAUUGAUAUGGCACCUUUUGAGGCUUUAAAUGGUAGAAGAGGUAAUUUACGAUUGGGUGGUUUGAUACUUUUGAGAUUAGACCCCGUAGUAUAGACCUACUUUAAGAGUCAUUAGAUUGAGUGACGGUGACUUAGGACAGAUUAAGGGAAGCUUAGAGUAAGCACAAGAAUUAUGCAAAUUUUAGACUUUAUGCCCUGAGAUAUGGAGUUUGUUACCAGGUGUUCCUCUGUGUAUCAGCAAUGAAGGGUGUGAUAAGGUUUGGGAGGAAGGGAAAGCUCAACAUUAGAUAUAGUAGACCCUUUGAGAUUCUUCGCAUAAUUUGUGAGGAGUCUUAUGAGUUAGACUUAACCCUAGAUUUUAUUGCUCUCUAUCAAGUUUUCUAUGUUUAUAUAUUGUGCUAAUACAUUCCUGAACCAUCUCAUGUGCUUAGAUAGGAGUCAGUUUAGUUAGAUGAGUGGUUGACCUCAUAGAGGAGCAUGUACUCAUGUUGUCUAGUGAUGUCAGACGAUUACGCACUAGAGAGAUUCCAGUAAUUAAGGUUCAAUAAAGACACCACCUAGUAGAUCAGACUACUUAUGAGAUCGAGAGUGAGAUGCGAGCCCAAUAUCAUUUCUUAUUUGAGUCCUCAGCUAUAUUCUAAUCAUUUAGUUUUAUGGACAAAAUUUAUUUUAGUAGUGGAUAUUGUAAUGAGCGUCCAGGUCAUUUUCUGUGUUUGGACUUAUUUUCAUUGUUUAGAGCAUUCCUAUAGCUGACCCAAGUGAUUUAUGACUUGCUGGAACUGACAGCUUAUUUACCGGACAGUUCGUAUGAUUUUUUAAGCUAAUUUCUUAUUUUGAAGUCAUAAAUCGUACAAAUUGUGUACUAGGCAAGAACUUUGGUCAAACGACCUCCUAUACCAAUUUGGAUAGUUCCAAUAGCUUUGAAAUGUCGAUUUAAGGUAGGUGCACCCUUGGUUUGGGUCUCAAGACUUUUUUCUGGACUCAUCUCAGGCUAUUAGCUAGAAGUUAAGAAAAAUAGCACGUGGCUGUCGGACCCACUUUUGUUGAAAUGACCUCAGACGGAAAUUUUGAUUGCACCACAGUGUCAAGCUCAUCAUAUUUUAUAGUGUGGCAUAGUUCGUUUACAUAUAUGAGAUUCCAAAUGAAUCCUGAGGGGUUGGCAGAGACUUGGAAAAGUUCCAAGUCUCAGCUGGUGCUAGUGAAUCACUUAAGCACCCAUGAAGUCGCUUAAAAGCAUGCUGCUAAAGUGGUGACCUGACCUGAGCCAGGGCAAAAUCAUAAUGGGCAUACCAAGUCUAUGUAGGGCCAUGGACCACCCAUGUUACCUAACCAAAUCUCAUAAUAUGCAUACCCUAAGUCGAAUAACUUUCGAAUGAAUAAAAAGAUAGAGUUAUUGUGUAAUCAAAUAGUCAAGGAUAGAUUGAUGAGUGCCAAAUUUACUACUCAUUUACCCUUAACAUUCGUGCACACUACUAUGAUUUGUAUAUAAAGUGAGACACAGUUGUAGUUAAAUAUACUAAUUCCCGUAUUUUAUAGGUAUAUAAGUGCUGAGAAAAAAGAAGCAAACUCGAGAUGAAAAGGAUCAAAAAGGGAAUUAAAGAGCAAGAGCUGAACAAGAUGAAGCAGGCUGAGGAUCUAGCCCUCAGUUAUCGCGAUCAGGGUGAGUGCGAUCAAGAUAGUCAACCAACUGUGAUUGCGAUGGACUAAUCGCGAUCAGGGUGAGUGCGAUCAUAACCAAUCUUCCGUAAUAGCGUGAGGGCGGAAAAUGGCCCAAGGGAACAAAUGUCAUUCUGAACUACCGACCCCAAAUCCCAUUUAAGGCUCAAAAUCCCUUCAUUCUGAAUCCAUACAUUUCAUAAACACUACCUAUCAUCCUUAGUUUAGGGUUUUUGUAUUUUCUUAGUGCUUGGAGCUUAAAUUUGUACUAAGUUAAGCUAAAGACAUUUGAGUGACCUACAAGUGCAGAUUAGGAUUUAUCUAUUGAAGAUUCAUUUGAGUCUAUAGUGUGGUUUUCCUUCUCUUUACGUCUCCUAUGAAUUACUUUAAU
rnacentral:lncRNA from 1 species